GAUGAAGAACGCAGCGAAAUGCGAUACGUAAUGUGAAUUGCAGAAUUCAGUGAAUCAUCGAGUCUUUGAACGCACAUUGCGCCCUCUGGUAUUCCGGAGGGCAUGCCUGUCCGUGCGUCAUUGCUGCCCUCAAGCACGGCUUGUGUGUUGGGCCCCGCCCCCCGAUCCCGGGGGGCGGGCCCGAAAGGCAGCGGCGGCACCGCGUCCGGUCCUCGAGCGUAUGGGGCUUUGUCACCCGCUCUGUAGGCCCGGCCGGCGCUUGCCGAUCAACCAAACUUUUUUCCAGGUUGACCUCGGAUCAGGUAGGGAUACCCGCUGAACUUAAGCAUAUCAAUAAGCGGAGGA
rnacentral:misc_RNA from 1 species